UGCAUCGGCCGGGAAUCGAACCCGAGCAGCCCGCGUGGCAGGCGAGAAUUCUACCACUGAACCACCGAUGG
rnacentral:tRNA from 1 species